rnacentral:rRNA from 1 species
CCCGCAACGAGCGCAACCCUUGAUCUUAGUUGCCAGCAUUCAGUUGGGCACUCUAAGGUGACUGCCGGUGACAAACCGGAGGAAGGUGGGGAUGACGUCAAAUCAUCAUGCCCCUUAUGACCUGGGCUACACACGUGCUACAAUGGACAGAACAAAGGGCUGCAAGACCGCAAGGUUUAGCCAAUCCCAUAAAUCUGUUCUCAGUUCGGAUCGCAGUCUGCAACUCGACUGCGUGAAGCUGGAAUCGCUAGUAAUCGCGGAUCAGCAUGCCGCGGUGAAUACGUU